rnacentral:tRNA from 1 species
AAAGUUUUAGUAUAAUAAGUAUAGUUUAUUGUCAAUAAGCAGGUGAAUAACUUUAA